UAAUUGGCUUAGCUGCUUCUGGUUGGUCUCUAAUUUUUACCAAACAAAUUUACUAGUAUUUGAUUUUUCAUUGCAUUUGUUUCAAGAUAGUGUUGACUUUUAUUUUCUAUUUUUAUUGUUGAUAAGGUUUUAUGAAUUGUAUUUACUCUUAUAAUCAGUUAUUUUUUAAUAGAUGAAGUUUCCUUGUGUUUGCCUACUUGAAUUUCUUACUGCAGAUCGCAUGGAAAGUAAUGUACCGUGGGCACCACAAAUAUGAAGAGAGAAGAUAGAUCAACUAAUCAAGAUUGAAGGUAUGACACUAUUUUCUCCUUUCGUCCUACUUGUGCAAAUAUACAAAAGUAUAUAUAUACAACAAUAUCCAUGUGGAUUACUUAACUCUUAAACAGGGUGCAUACUGGGUUCUUCUGUGGGAAAGAAAAGGAAAAACAUAAUAUCUUAUUGUGUAGAGUUACUAAAUCGGUAACUACAAGGAUUAAUUUUAGUUUCUUGUAUCCAGCCAAAGUCGUGUAACAUGUAUGCAGUUCAAUAUUUGCACAAUUGCACUGAUAAUUCAGAAAUCGACAAGCAUUUAUAUAUUCUUUAAAGUUGUCUAACAUGUAGCACCACUCCAGUGAUAUUUUUCGAGAGC
rnacentral:lncRNA from 1 species